AUGGUGCGCCCUGGUGAUGUGUCCAGCCGUCCGCACGACACGGCUUGGAUGCUUCUGCCGCCGGGCAGAGGGCAGGCGAACGAGGGCAACGGCGAGCGGGGCCGCUCCAACUCCGCCGAGCACCGGGGUCGCCGGAUCCGCCUGAAUCCAUGGCGCGCCUCCGACCGCUGCUUCACGAACCGUAGACCACCGCUGGGAUCUGGCCAUGCCAGACCACCUGCCCAGUCGUCGCGCGUCAUGGUGAUGUGUCGCGGGCGUGCCCGGCAGGAGGACGAGCACGAGGCCGUGCGGUUGUGCCACGAGCGCGCCGACCUGCCCGCGGUCGAUGCCCACCACCGUGACGCGCUCGGGGACGCGCACGCCUUGCUCGUCGGCUCACUCCUGCCCGUCUCCUCGCUCCACCCUCGCCGGGAAUGGUCGUGGCGCUGUGUCGUGGGUGCGCCGAGCAGGAGGCCAUGGCGCUCUGCCGGGGACGCGCCGGCCUGCUCGCCGUCACCGUCGGCCACCGCGACGCGCACGCCGCGCUCGCCGGCUCACUCCUAUCCAUCUCCUCUUCGCUCCACCUCCUCCUCGUCUCCGCGACUGCCCGGUCGGCGGUGA
rnacentral:rRNA from 1 species